UUGAGCCGUAUGCGCUGAAAGGCGCACGUACGGUUCUUAGGGGGAGGCGGGCCAGCAAUGGCCUGUCUCUACCCGAC
rnacentral:ncRNA from 1 species